rnacentral:rRNA from 2 species
GAGUUUGAUCCUGGCUCAGGAUGAACGCUAGCUACAGGCUUAACACAUGCAAGUCGAGGGACCGGCGCACGGGUGAGUAACACGUAUCCAACCUGCCGAUAACUCGGGGAUAGCCUUUCGAAAGAAAGAUUAAUACCCGAUGGUUAAAGUCGGUUAUCGAUGGGGAUGCGUUCCAUUAGGCAGUUGGUGAGGUAACGGCUCACCAAACCUUCGAUGGAUAGGGGUUCUGAGAGGAAGGUCCCCCACAUUGGAACUGAGACACGGUCCAAACUCCUACGGGAGGCAGCAGUGAGGAAUAUUGGUCAAUGGGCGCAGGCCUGAACCAGCCAAGUAGCGUGAAGGAUGACUGCCUAUGGGUUGUAAACUUCUUUUAUAUGGGAAUAUGUAUGUACCAUAUGAAUAAGGAUCGGCUAACUCCGUGCCAGCAGCCGCGGUAAUACGGAGGAUCCGAGCGUUAUCCGGAUUUAUUGGGUUUAAAGGGAGCGUAGGUGGACAGUUAAGUCAGUUGUGAAAGUUUGCGGCUCAACCGUAAAAUUGCAGUUGAUACUGGCUGUCUUGAGUACAGUAGAGGUGGGCGGAAUUCGUGGUGUAGCGGUGAAAUGCUUAGAUAUCACGAAGAACUCCGAUUGCGAAGGCAGCUCACUGGACUGACUGACACUGAUGCUCGAAAGUGUGGGUAUCAAACAGGAUUAGAUACCCUGGUAGUCCACACAGUAAACGAUGAAUACUCGCUGUUUGCGAGUAAGCGGCCAAGCGAAAGCAUUAAGUAUUCCACCUGGGGAGUACGCCGGCAACGGUGAAACUCAAAGGAAUUGACGGGGGCCCGCACAAGCGGAGGAACAUGUGGUUUAAUUCGAUGAUACGCGAGGAACCUUACCCGGGCUUAAAUUGUGAAGGUGCUGCAUGGUUGUCGUCAGCUCGUGCCGUGAGGUGUCGGCUUAAGUGCCAUAACGAGCGCAACCCUUAUCUUUAGUUACUAACAGCUGAGGACUCUAGAGAGACUGCCGUCGUAAGAUGGAGGAAGGUGGGGAUGACGUCAAAUCAGCACGGCCCUUACGUCCGGGGCUACACACGUGUUACAAUGGGGGGCAGAAGGCAGCUACCUGGUGACAGGAUGCUAAUCCCACCUCUCUCAGUUCGGACGAAGUCUGCAACCCGACUUCGGAAGCUGGAUUCGCUAGUAAUCGCGCAUCAGCCAUGGCGCGGUGAAUACGUUCCCGGGCCUUGUACACACCGCCCGUCAAGCCAUGAAAGCCGGGGGUACCUGAAGUACGUAGCGUCCUAGGGUAAAACUGGUAAUUGGGGCUAAGUCGUAACAAGGUAGCCGU